rnacentral:rRNA from 1 species
GACGAACGCUGGCGGCGUGCUUAAAACAUGCAAGUCGAACGGACUUCUCAUGAAGCUUGCGAUUGAGAAGUUAGUGGCGGACGGGUGAGUAACGCGUGGGCAACCUGCCCCUGAGCCCGGGAUAACAGUUCGAAAGGACUGCUAAGACCGGAUAUACUUGCGGUGAAGCAUUUCACUGCAAGGAAAGGGAACGCUCAGGGAUGGGCCCGCGUCCCAUUAGCUAGUUGGUGAGGUAACGGCCCACCAAGGCGACGAUGGGUAGCCGGCCUGAGAGGGUGAACGGCCACACUGGGACUGAGACACGGCCCAGACUCCUACGGGAGGCAGCAGUUGGGAAUCUUCGGCAAUGGGCGCAAGCCUGACCGAGCAACGCCGCGUGAGUGAUGAAGGUUUUCGGAUUGUAAAGCUCUGUCUUCCGGGACGAUAAUGACGGUACCGGAGGAGGAAGCCACGGCUAACUACGUGCCAGCAGCCGACGGUAAACAUACUCGUA